UACAGAGGGGCAAGCGUUGUUCGGAAUUACUGGGCGUAAAGGGCGCGUAGGCGGCCUUCUAAGUCGAACGUGAAAUCCCUGGGCUCAACCCAGGAACUGCGUCCGAUACUGGAAGGCUUGAAUCCGGGAGAGGGAUGCGGAAUUCCAGGUGUAGCGGUGAAAUGCGUAGAUAUCUGGAGGAACACCGGUGGCGAAGGCGGCAUCCUGGACCGGUAUUGACGCUGAGGCGCGAAAGCCAGGGGAGCAAACGGG
rnacentral:rRNA from 1 species